GAUGAACGCUAGCGGCAGGCUUAACACAUGCAAGUCGAGGGGCAGCGAGGGUAGCAAUACCUGUCGGCGACCGGCAAACGGGUGCGGAACACGUACACAAUCUGCCUCUGUCUGGGGCAUAGCCCGAAGAAAUUCGGAUUAAUUCCCCAUAAGAUAUUAGGGUGGCAUCACCUAUAUAUUAAAGAGUUUCGGACAGAGAUGAGUGUGCGUCCCAUUAGCUAGUUGGUAGGGUAACGGCCUACCAAGGCGACGAUGGGUAGCUGGUGUGAGAGCACGACCAGCCACACGGGCACUGAGACACGGGCCCGACUCCUACGGUAGGCAGCAGUGAGGAAUAUUGGUCAAUGGACGCAAGUCUGAACCAGCCAUGCCGCGUGAAGGAUGAAGGCCUUCUGGGUUGUAAACUUCUUUUAUCUGGGAAGAAAAGCACUGUUUCUACGGUGUCCGACGGUACCAGAGGAAUAAGCACCGGCUAACUCCGUGCCAGCCGCCGCAGUAACAC
rnacentral:rRNA from 1 species